GCCCAGACUCCUACGGGAGGCAGCAGUGGGGAAUAUUGCACAAUGGGGGAAACCCUGAUGCAGCGACGCCGCGUGAGCGAUGAAGUAUUUCGGUAUGUAAAGCUCUAUCAGCAGGGAAGAAAAUGACGGUACCUGACUAAGAAGCCCCGGCUAACUACGUGCCAGCAGCCGCGGUAAUGCGUAGGGGGCAAGCGUUAUCCGGAUUUACUGGGUGUAAAGGGAGCGUAGACGGCAAUGCAAGCCAGAUGUGAAAGCCCGGGGCUCAACCCCGGGACUGCAUUUGGAACUGUGUAGCUGGAGUGUCGGAGGGGCAGGCGGAAUUCCUGGUGUAGCGGUGAAAUGCGUAGAUAUCAGGAGGAACACCGGUGGCGAAGGCGGCCUGCUGGACUGCAACUGACGUUGAGGCCCGAAAGCGUGGGGAGCAAACAGGAUUAGAUACCCCUGUA
rnacentral:rRNA from 1 species